CUUCCCCUCAUUUUCAGAUGACCAUUAUUGGAGCUAUACGCUUAGUCUUUGGUGCUUUCCUUCUAGGAGUUACUGUAUUUCUGUGCUGUUUUGAAAUGAAAUAAAAAGGAGUUAUUCAACAAAGCUGGUAAUUUAUGACGUUUUCCACAUACAGAAGCAGUAAAGGACCAUGAUUUUUUUUUAAUUUCUUAAAUAUUACUGCAACCUGUGCUGCUGUUUUUCUCAAAUGAGAAUUUUGUUGUUCAGCCUAAUUGAAAAAUAUAUAUUUUAUCAUCUGAAAGUCUAAAUUAAAUUAGUAUUUUGCUUGUUUUAGCUGAUGUUGUAACUAUUAUCCCAUUCAGUUUAGCUCAUUGCAUUUAGUAACAUUUA